UCCCUAGAAGAAAAGGAGAACCAUAAAAAAAAGAUACAUAGAAGAUGAUCAUGGCCCCUGUGCACAAGGAUGACACACAAAAUUGAGAAAUAGUCCAAUGUUUU